UAAUCUAUUUGAGAUAUAUCUUUAUUUAAUUAUGAUAGAUCCACAUUUGAUUGCACAGAAUCAUCAAUUAUCGCAAAUUCGACUACAUCAUUGACAUUGAAAAACAGAAGACAACUAUUACGUGAAUAAUAACUUUUUA
rnacentral:pre_miRNA from 13 species